GAAGCUGGAAUCGCUAGUAAUCGCGAAUCAGAAUGUCGCGGUGAAUACGUUCCCGGGCCUUGUACACACCGCCCGUCACACCAUGGGAGUUGGAAGCACCCGAAGUCGGUGACCUGACCGUAAGGAGGGAGCCGCCGAAGGUGAAGCCAGCGACUGGGGUGAAGUCGUAACAAGGUACC
rnacentral:rRNA from 1 species